AUUGAGAAAGCUGCAUUUCAAACUCAUCAUGGACACAUCGAGUUCCUUGUAAUGCCAUUCGGCCUCACCAAUGCGCCUUCAACUUUUCAAGCAUUGAUGAAUGAAGCGUUUCAGCCUUAUUUACGCAAGUUUGUUUUAGUUUUUUUCAAUGAUAUAUUGAUAUAUAACAAGUCAUGGGUAGAGCAUUUGCAGCACAUUUGGGUAGUUUUUGAAUUAUUACGAUCUCACUAUUUAUUUCUUAAGAAAUCUAAGUGCUCUUUUGGGGAGAUCCAGGUAGCGUAUCUUGGCCAUUUUAUCACUGGUGCAGGAGUUUUGGCUGAUGCAAACAAAAUUAAAGCCACAACAGAAUGGCCCAUACCUACUUUAGCGAAAGCCUUACAUGGAUUUCUUGGAUUGGCUGGCUACUAUCACAAGUUUAUACAAAAUUAUGGCAAAGUUGCUGCCCCAUUUAUGAGCUUAUUAAAGAAAAAUUCCUUUCAAUGGAAUGUAGUGCAAGAUCCUUUGCACAAUUGAAG
rnacentral:misc_RNA from 1 species